GAUGCACCAUUUUCUUUUAAAUUUCUAUUGAAGAUUCAGCAAAUUAUUCCAUAAUGAAUUUCAGACAAGGCAAUGUCAGGGUACUGGGAGGCAGGAGCCAUAUAGAAGUGUAAGUGGUUGUGGUGGUUAGGGAGCCCUACAUAUGUGUAAGUGGUUGUAAGUGAUUGUGUCGGCAAAGUGCUUCGGAUUUCUGAAAAGUGGCAAAAUGAG